ACCCCUGUGAGGCAGCACCCCUGUGAGGCAGACUGCUACUUCCUGGAGGGAGCCGAGUGAGGCUAGCAGAGACAAAGCAUCUGUGAACAGUGGAGUGAGGCAGAUUCACAGCUUGACGCCUCCCUUCCCGCCUUCCCAGGUACCCAGGUCUUUUCCCUCGCCCCAUGAACCAUGAGAAGAGGACAUUUUCUGCAGCCCACACCCACACCUGGUCCAAUCUCAGGAAGAGAAGGGAAUGACGUACCCACCCAGAAGAGCAAUUCGGAGGUUCUGGCGGAAGACAGGGUUCAAGAUGAGGCCCUGGAGUCCACCGGGGAGCAGCUGGGUAUGCCAAAUACGGAGGCCACUCAACAGCCCGGUACUUUCCUCCUGAGCCCUGGACGGAAGCAGAGUUGGGUGAGGUGUCAUGAAUAGAAAGGAGACCUCCAGGGAGCUCUCUCUCCCCCAAUGGCAGUCCUUGGAACAGUGUUGCAGAGGGAAGCAACAUGCACUGGAAGGGGUCCUAUGAAGCCUGGGACAGCCUCGACCUUACAAUGUAUCAAACUUGCAAUGUAACCUUACAAUCUACUGUUUCCUGUCUCUACCUCCCUACUUCGCUGGCUACUUUUUUCCUUUCUUCCUUUGGUCUUUUUGUUUGUUUUGUUCUAAUUAGUAUACAGCUAGAGAGAUCACAACUCUGCACCAUGGAAACCACUGCAAGUGUAUUCUGGAGGGUUUUCCUUGUGUAGGGCAGAGUCUGUUGAAAGGCCCUAGAUCUGAUCCCCAGCUCCUGUGUGUGUGCACCCUGGCAGUGUUCCAAACAAAAGCAAUUUGAGAAAUGACGCUUGCACAGGACUCACUUGCUGAACUCCUUCUUCACCCACAGGGCCACGGCAGCCUGUGGUAGAGGCUGCUCCAGAAAGAGCAUUCUCAUCACCCAGUUCUUAGCCAAGGAAGGGAGCUCCCUGUAAGGUUCAGAGGCCAAUGUUAUCAGAAGCAACCUCACACCUGCAUCUCUGCCCUUAUCUGCCUGGCCCCUUGGCUAAAAGGUGUAUGGUAGGACUGAACCACAAUACAAGGUUUUUCUGGUUCAUAACCUUGGGGUUCACAAUGUGAUCAAAUACCCUGCAACAUCUGCCUCUCAAAUGUCUCACGCCAUCUCCCACAUCCUUACCAGUCCCGCUGCCCCCACAACCUCUGUUUUGGAUUGACACACUGUCUAACACCCUGGUACUCACUGAGGUAAGCCUCUCCUCCAUGAUAACUAACUUCAGUCUGCAGGCCCCGUUACACUCUCCAAACGCCCCUCACCUGAAGACAGCCAGACAAGUGGCAGGGUGUCCAUACAAUCGGUCCAGCACCCCAGGGCUCAGGCCGCCUAAGAACUCCUGUAGAUUCCUGCAUUGUAGGUGUGCUCGGUUCAGUCCACCCCUCGCGGGGGUGAUCUCCAUCACCUGAGAGGGACAAGUGUCAGAACUCCCGCAUGACCCAUAUCACUCCAGAUCUAUGACUCCAGAUCUAUCAGGUUCACUUUCUGUACUUUCCUGUCUGGUGCCACUCAUUCCUCCCAAACCCUUCGUGUCCUGCUUCUUCAUCAUGCAGCUCAGGAUGGCCUUGAACUUGCUAUGUAGCCAAGGAUGGAUUUGAACCCCUGACCCAUCUUUGUGACCUCGAUGUCACAAGUGGCCACCAGGUUUUUCAUCCCACAUCUGCCUUUAAGUUCAGCCUUUUUUCAGUCUCCAGGGGGUGAGAUUAUUCUCAUUUUGUGUAUGGUCCUGAGGAUCAAAUCCAGAUCCUCACUGGUGUGUACAAAAGUGACUGAAUUACUUGUUGUGUCCUACUUGCAAAAGUGUUUUGCAUUAUCAAUGAUGUCUCUAGUUGACCUAAGCAGUGACAAAGAUGCUUGUUUGAGCCUAAGCUUCUCUCUUGUCCACCCUCCUGGUCAAAUCACUAUAAAUCUGUCAAGUACUUAGCGCUCUCAUCUGGGGACACGGUUAUAAACUGCCUCCACGCUUACCAACCUAAAUAUCUUUCUAUCCCUUCCCCCCACCCCCCGAGCCAGCUUCACCCCUCUCACUGAGACACACGCUUCCGAGCUCCUCACUUCUCCCCAGCUUUCCUUUCACACCACCUCUCACUCAACUCUCUCCCUCCCUGACCCCUCUCACACCCCCUCACCACUCGGAUCCCCUCCGCGCACCCCGGGUCACCAGCCGUCGCCUAAUCAGAGCUAAUGUCUCGCAUUGACUCCUGGAAAUAAAAGAUGAAAAUUCUAAAACGUGGGAGAACCGCGGAGAACUUCACAGACAGGACCCAGCCAAAAAGCAGCCCAAAGAGAAGGGAGCGCAGAAAAA